rnacentral:rRNA from 1 species
CCUGCCCAAGAGAUCGGGAUAACACCUGGAAACAGAUGCUAAUACCGGAUAACAACAGAUGAUGCCUAUCAAACUGUUUAAAAGAUGGUUCUGCUAUCACUCUUGGAUGGACCUGCGGUGCAUUAGCUAGUUGGUAGGGUAACGGCCUACCAAGGCGAUGAUGCAUAGCCGAGUUGAGAGACUGAUCGGCCACAUUGGGACUGAGACACGGCCCAAACUCCUACGGGAGGCAGCAGCU